rnacentral:rRNA from 1 species
GACGAACGCUGGCGGCGUGCUUAACACAUGCCAGUCGAACGGAAAGGCCCUGCUUGCAGGGUACUCGAGUGGCGAACGGGUGAGUAACACGUGGGUGAUCUGCCCUGCACUUCGGGAUAAGCUUGGGAAACUGGGUCUAAUACCGGAUAGGACCGCACUUUAGUGUGUGUGGUGGAAAGUUUUUUCGGUGUAGGAUGAGCUCGCGGCCUAUCAGCUUGUUGGUGGGGUAAUGGCCUACCAAGGCGGCGACGGGUAGCCGGCCUGAGAGGGUGUACGGCCACAUUGGGACUGAGAUACGGCCCAGACUCCUACGGGAGGCAGCAGUGGGGAAUAUUGCACAAUGGGCGCAAGCCUGAUGCAGCGACGCCGCGUGGGGGAUGAAGGCCUUCGGGUUGUAAACUCCUUUCGCUAGGGACGAAGCUUUUUGUGACGGUACCUAGAUAAGAAGCACCGGCUAACUACGUG